GUGCUCGAUUUGGCAGCACGUACAUGAAAACUGGAACGAUACAGAGAUGGAUUAGCAUGGCCCCUACGCAAGGAUGACAUGCAAAUUCGUGAAGGGUUCCAUAUUUUU